GAGUCGCUUGGCUUCUGUAGCGCCGUGUCAACCCCAGAAGUGGAAAGAAAGAACCCUCUUCAUAAAUCAAACUCAGAAGACAGCUCUGUAGGUCAGUACCACUUUUCUUGGUUUACCUAUUUAAUUAUUUCAAUACUUUAUAGAAAACACGAAUAUGUGACAAUACAAAACCCACAAGAAUCCUUCUACUCAGAAAUAAACACUGUUAAGAUUUUGAUGUGCAUCCUUAUUCUCCUUUUUCUAGGCAGUUUUAAAAAAACAUAAUUGUGAUCAUAUUCUGCAUACUGUUUUAUAGUUUUUAAGUUGAAUAUGUUAUGAGCAUUUUCCCAUGACUGAAUAUUCUCUACGUUAAUAUAGAAAAAUUAGAAGCAACCUAAAUAUCCAGCAAAGAAUGAAUUGGUUAAUUAGCUUAUGGCACAUCCAAUAUGGUGGAAUAUUAUGCAGACUUAAAAAUUUACUGCUGCUGUAAAAAUCCUGGGGUCUGUGUCCCUAAUAAUGUCCUUAGGAUAAAUCCUUCAAUUUGGAAUUUUUUGGAUCCAAGAUUAUGCAUAAUUAAGGCAUUGUAUGAUUUAUAUAUUCUUGAUUAUAAAAUUCACUCUUGGUUUAGUAACAGCUAU
rnacentral:sRNA from 1 species